AUGAGCAAAGCACCUACAAGGAAGCAGCAAGUGAAGGUUCACGACACACAGACCACUUUCUUCUUGACUUUCCUCAGUGCCAUCCUUGUAGCCUCCAGGAUUGUGUUGUACUGUAAGACUGAGAGCUGCUUCCUCAAGAGUCACCCCAACCAGGCUUGUCACACAGCUAGCACAGAGCUUGCUCCCCAAAACAACAGAAGGGUAAAACAAACACUUCCAGAACAACUCAACAAGCCAUGCAUAGUUUGAGUGCUUCACGUUAAAUUGCUCAAUUCCUAACAGCUCUUAGAGGGUGAUAAGAGUGAAUGAAGAAUGAAUGAACCUUCACAAGGUCUUCACUGCCUUCUAUAGGGAGAGCAGGUCAGAAAUUGUUAUCUCCAGACUUUCCGGAUUUAGUCCCAGCUCUACCACUCACUAACUAGGUCCUAGGGCAGAUUAUAUAACCUUUGUGCUUUAGACUGCAAAAUCAGGAAAAUAAUAGUAUCUACCCCAAAGAGUUAUUUUAAAAAUUAAAUGGCUCAAUAGAUGUAAAAUGCACAGGACUGUGCCUCACAUAAGUAAGUGCUAUGUAAACAUCCAUCAUCAUAACGCCAUUUUCUAGAUGAAUAAUCUAAAACUUAGAGAAAACAAAUGACCUACCCAAAGACACAUCAUUGAUAAAUAAAAGAACCUGUUUGUUCUGGGUGCUAGUCCAAUGUUUCAGCAGAGAGAAGAGUAACUCUGUGGCUGCAUAUCUGUCCUUUGGUGAAAGAAAGGAAGCUAACAUCUGGGAGUGGCAGGUAUAUUGGAACUUGGACCUACGGAGGCUGACCUGACUUCCCACUUGGUCGUUGUUGGCUUUUUUACAGGAGACUACAGUAUUAACUUUCAUGGUUCUGCUUACUCUUUCCUUGAACAUCUUUAAGGCUCUGGAUACAAACAACUUGGCUGACAUACUAGCUAUGCCCUUUACUAACUGUGUGACUUUGGGCAGUGCCCUGCUUCAGAUUCCUCAUCUGUAAAAUACAGAGAAAAAUGUAAUUGUUAUGCAGAUUAAACUAGUGGAUAUGAAAUACAUAGCUCAGUGUUUGGCAUACAACAAGAGCUUAAUAAGUGUUUGCUGUUGUUUUUGUGAAGUAGAAAGAAAAAUAGCAAUAGACCUCACAACAUAAAUACUUGGUAAUGGUCUCAGUAAUCAGGAAAUCUGAAAAACAAAGUAUAUAGAUGGACAAAUGCAAUGGGAGGUACAACACAAAGCCUUUGUUUUAACCAGUGGAUGGUUUGUUUCAAUCAGAUGUCAGGGGUCAUAUAUUGGAC
rnacentral:lncRNA from 1 species